UAUAUCCAAGUGUUAGAUGCACGAGAGUUUUUGAUGCUUUAAGGAAUAGUUUAAGUCUAUUGGGUAUAA
rnacentral:tRNA from 1 species